CUUAGAGGGGACAAUUGCCCUGCAGAGAUCCGUCAGGAACCCUUGUAGUUUUUAAAUAAACCACCUGUAGUAAGGUCUCGAAGAAACGCCAAAGAAAGGACAACCAGCCGAUGGAGUUGCACCUGUACUCACCUGUAAGCAGGACAGGUGUCGGCUCUACAUGCUAACUAGCUAGUUGCGUAGGGUCCCGCCUCCUCCUCGUUUCAAAGCGGGAGAUUAUGUUCACAAACUUCGAUGAGAGGAUGAAGCUAAACUAUUCUUCUGGUCACGGAAAGAGGGAACAAACUCAAGGUCAACUGUGGGUUGUGUCGGAAGUUGGGCGUUGAAAGGAGCCUCUGCUCUCCCUGCCAACCGCUGACCAAUGGCCUGGUGGAGAAGCAGAAUGGAACAAUACAGAGGUUCCUGAACAAAGUGGUGACUGAUCACCCCAAACACCGGGAGCAGUUCCUGUAGUCCACCAUGUUCGCUCUCUGGACAGAAAAAAUCUGCUGACAGCCAAGUGCAGCCCGUACUUUCUGAUGCUUGGGAGGGAAGCGAGGUGUAUCCCUCUGAGGUGCCAAAAGAGUACGAAGUAAGAGUGUCAGUGUUUCCCCUACAUGCAUUCAGGAGCGGCAGUGCGCCGCUGCAGAAUUAUGACUGGCGCUACUAAAAUGUCAGUCACUAUUAAUAUAAUGAUGCGCUACUAAGUUUCACUCGCACUAUGCGAGCACGGUAACACUCAUCGCUUGGCUUACUUCCUCUCCUCAUUCUUCAAAGGACGUCUACGUGACAGGUGCUGUUAUAAGAGCAGCGUAACUGAAAAAGUGGUUGUUGGGGAAAAGAGGACGGUGGUGACUGGAGGAGCUGAGUGCACCCAACAGGAAAAUCCUGCUGUUCCCUGUGUCCAAGAACACCCAGACAGAUAAUUGCAUCAUCACUUUACAGUAGACCACGUCUCCAGGAUGCUGAAGUGAGGAUGAGGAGACAGGAGACCUCCUGGCAAAGGAACCAGGAGACCAGCUCCGCCUGAGUGAAGAGCUUCAGAGCCUCGAUCUGCAACAGGAACCACAACCAGAGACCUGAAAUCUUAAUCCAGCUUUUUGCUUCUUCCAAAGUUCAGAAAACGUUUUACCAAACUCUGGCCUGGCCCACCCAACGGGGUCCAGCAGGGACACCAACUGGGUUUUCUCUGAUUCUCCAGUUCAGAGAAAGAGAUGACAUCAUUAAUUCAAUGAGUCGUGAUAAAAGGAAAUCUUCAGCAUUUUUAGAUGCUUCAGGCUGAAACGGCGUGAAUGCUUUUCUAAAAUGGCGUCCUCAAAAGGGGAUUGUCUUUGUCACUGACGUCUCGCCUAAUGCCUACUCUCGCUCUGAAGUCUCGUGAGAGGCGAGCUGUUGCAGCUGUUGCCGCUGGAAACCACAAAUGAGCGUUACCUGCCACGAGCUGCAGGAAAUUCUGGGCAGGCGCGCAGAACUCUGCACGACCGGGCAAGACGCCGACAGCAGAAACAGCUGAUCAGUCCUCUAAACAGAUGCGACUGAGCUUCUACACCUGACGAGACAGGAAGACAUCAACAGGUGCGUCUCACCUCCUUGUCGAGCCUCUUGAAGACGUACUGCUGUGUGACGACCUCGAACCAGUUGCGGUCCACCUCCUCUCCCAGGUGGGCGUCCUCGCACUCCUUCAGCUUGAUGAGCGCCGUCACCUGGGUCUUAAAGGCCUCCGCGCUCAGGCCCGACAAACGCUCGCCGAAGCUGACCAGGAACUCCUCGAUCUUCGCCUCGACGAACUCUGUGCUGAGAGCGCAAACGGGAAGGAGGGGGGGGGCGUUAAAGGAGGGAAACUAAAUCCAGGCUGAAACAAACAACAGGGGCGGGGGGGUGAAAGGCUCACCUGAACUUGGUGGCCUGUGUUUCCACGGUGACGGAGAAUCCCAGCACCCCCGAGGUGUUCCUGCAGGUCGGGUACACCUGGUACCUGGAUGAAAUGAGAUGAUGCAACAGUGUUUCCCACAGGAUUUUAAGAGACUAUGGUGGGCGGGACCUGCAUUUACACUUAAACGCUUUCAUUUGGUGCAAAACGAAGAGGCUAUGAAGAACUUUGUGCUUUUGUAAACUAAUGUAAAGCUAUAAAUGCUGAUGAAACACAAAGUCAACACAUUUAUUAAAUGUUUUUCCAGCAACCCUGAAUUAAAGAAUAGAAAAUAAGUAAAUAAAUGUUUAUUUCCUG